rnacentral:snoRNA from 1 species
AAGACUGUGCUUCAUAGGAUCAUUUCUAUAGGCAAGUUUUCACACAACCUCUACGCAAAGUGGAGUAAUUCCUACCCACGAUGAUGAGUCGGAGUGUCUGACCUGGAGCGUGAAACUGUCGGAUUCGGGUGCGCCUCUGGUGUCCCGUUCUGUACUUGAUGAUCGUUUUCCUUUACAAGGGUCAGACGCAUUCUGAGUGGU